AUGUUAAUGAGGGCCCCCUAUGGAAAGGUGGGGCAGCUGCCCUACCUUGAUUCUACCGCAAAAACAAACCAUGAAAGCAUGCAUUAUUGCACCGCUACUUGCGUGCUUGAAUCGACGAACUUUUUUUGGACGUGGUUGGAUGUGGACGAGCUAGAGGAGAAACGGGAUCUAGGUUUAACAAUUCACAGAGCAGGUGGCAAGGUUGGUCAAAUUAACAACCUAGGGGCAAUGGAUACUUUAGUUUUUUUAGCACAGUACAGACACGAGCGCUCAUAUCAUCUCGAAAUUUACAAAGUCGCCGCCGCCCUUGUGGGGGGGGGGGGGGCCCCUUCCCUGGCCGCCGCCGCCCCCUCCCCUCCUCGAUCUCCUCCCCCCGCUGCCGCCGGAGCGCGCUCCCAGGCAAAGCUGGCGGCGGGCCUUCUUCUCCCUUCGCUCGGGGCAGCCGCCUUGGAUGUAUGCGCGGCGCUGAGUAGGGCGUGGCGGCGGGACAACGGCGGACGUCCCAGCGACGGUGGCGGCUGGUGGCGGUGUGUGGAGAGCUGCUGGGAUCUGGCGGGCUGCUCCUCCGGCCGGCUGUUCUCGCGGACGGCGCGGGCUGAGGCGGCGUGGUCCGGUCGUCUCUACAGGUCCUUGGGUGCUGGAGGUGGCCGGAGCGGGGGCGUACCAUGGUGGGGUGGCCGGCGGCGCUGUUGCUGGGCCGACCUCUUCCUGUGGUGCAGGUUGGUACAGCGGUGCGGGGCUCCCCCUAGGGGUCCCGGCGUGGAUGUGGGCUGCCACGGCGUGGUGGUGGCUCAUGGCGGUGGUUUGGGUCGUUCAAGGCGGCGGCUGGAAAUCUCCGGUGUCGGCCCGUCAGUGUGCGGCUUUUGCCGACCUUCGAUCCUUCUCCUCCAGUCAUUCGUCUGCUACCUUCGUCGAUGGUUGGCUCUCCCCCAGUUAUGCCCCUCCCUCCUCUUCACAUUCCGGGUGGCGGCGCACUCCACGGGGCUCGGGACGUCCGCGGCGGCGUGGGCGCUUGUCGCCGGCGGCGCACUCCACGGGGCUUGGGACGUCUGCGGCGGCGCGGGCUGUGGACCGAGAGGCGGGGCCCGUGAUGCGGCUCCUCCUUCCUCCCCAUCCGGCGGCGGCUCCUCCUUCCUUCCCAUGGCUUCCCGCAUCGUGGCCGCCACCGGCUGGCUGCACCACCUCCGCACCUCAUGUUCUCAAAUCAGCAUGAGGAUCUUGGAUUGUAGCUGCACUGCAGGAGGUGGCACCACCAACAUGCCUUCCGUCUCCGCGAGCCAACGACGUCAGACGAGCCAAGUCUUGAACAUCUCGAGUUUUCUGAAGAAGAAAAGCUUCAGGCUUCUGCAGUUUUCAUUCUUCACGGCGCAGAGGUUACAGAGGGCAGAUGAUGUGUGCAAGGAAGGAAAAAUGCAGACAAGCAACGCCGAAGAUGUCUUCAAAGCGCUUGAUGAGAUUGACUUCCCAGAGUUAGUAGAGCCCCUGUGGACUGCAUUGGAAGGCAAUUCGCCAUCAGGAGGAAAUGCCAACCAAUACAUUUUUUACUUCCUCUGUUACAGAGAUUGUACAGUCUUAGGGUCUUUUGGCUUCAGGUUGCUGCUGCACAAAAAAUAUGUUAUUUGCAAGGAGCAUCCUGAUUUCUUCAGUUGCAAUUGUUUUGUUCAUUUCCUUUUUGCCUUCUUGAUUGGCUCAAACAUGCUCAUUGUGAAAGGGCGAGGAGCCGCCGCCAUGUUUCUCCCCGAGCUCCGUGGUAGAAUGGUCUGUUUGUAUCAGAUUGUGUUUAGUAGAUGUGAAGAGCUCAGUUCUCGUAAGCUACACCCUGAGGCGUGCAACAGGUAUGUGGAGAUUAAGGAGCGUGCCCAUAGUUUGGAGGUGUAUGUUAAUAAAGGGAGGAAGUUGAUCACAAGUUUUCUUUCAGCCAUUGGGAUAUCAUGUGCAUAUGUUGCAAGAAUGAGAAGGCUCCUCCGUGCUCAACAGGAAGAGAUAGGGUUGCAGUCGCACCGCACGACGGCAGGCCAUGGCGACCCGCACCACACCAGGGAGGCUAGGGCGAGCUCCAGCGCGAGCGAGCGCACCCGUCGCCCACGCCGGCGGGGUCCCGGCCACGAGCAACAGGAACACAGGGUCCCUGACCACGGUUGGAUCUCCUCCUUCUCCAUCCACAUGCGUGCAGCAACAGCUAGCAGCCGCACGGGUCUGAGCUCGGCCGCUCAAUUAGUGGUUUGGAUAGUAGUACUCCAUGAAUUUUCAUUUGACCCGCUGUCUGCCGCCGCCGCCGUGAUGUUGCUUCCCAGUGUUUUCCUUAUCUCUACUGCAAGUGUUCCCCCAAUGGAUGAAGAAACAACCAUUACAACGCAUGAGUAA
rnacentral:rRNA from 1 species